AAUAUGUGCAGUUUUGCACUAUUCAUGUUAAACGUUUGACCAUUCAUCUUAUUUAAAUUUUUUUAUUAAUAUUUUUAUUAUUAUUAGAUGAUAAAACAUGAAUAGUACUUUAUAUAUGACUAUUUUUUAAAAAAAAUUCAUACAUUUUUUAAAUAAGACAGGACGGUCAAACGUUGGACACGGAUACCCACGGCUGCACUCAUU
rfam:Oryza glumipatula chromosome 7, whole genome shotgun sequence.